rnacentral:tRNA from 1 species
GCGGGUGUAGCUCAACGGUAGAGCGGGAGCCUUCCAAGCUCUUGAUGAGGGUUCGAUUCCCUUCACCCGCUCCA